rnacentral:misc_RNA from 1 species
GAUGAAGAACGCAGUGAAAUGCGAUAAGUAAUGUGAAUUGCAGAAUUCAGUGAAUCAUCGAAUCUUUGAACGCACAUUGCGCCCCCCAGUAUUCUGGCGGGCAUGCCUGUUCGAGCGUCAUUUCAACCAUCAAGCCCUGCUUGCGUUGGGGUCCUGCGGCUGCCCGCAGGCCCUGAAAACCAGUGGCGGGCUCGCUAGUCACACCGAGCGCAGUAGCACAUCUCGCUCAGGGCGUGCGGCGGGCUCCAGCCGUUAAAGCACCCACCUUUCGCAAGGUUGACCUCGGAUCAGGUAGGAAUACCCGCUGAACUUAAGCAUAUCAAUAAGCGGAGGA